rnacentral:rRNA from 1 species
GAUGAACGCUGGCGGCGUGCCUAAUACAUGCAAGUCGAGCGAAGAGGCGGAUGGGUGAGUAACGCGUGGGUCACCUGCCCUUAAGUCUGGGAUACCAUUUGGAAACAGAUGCUAAUACCGGAUAUUAAACGAUGUACCUGCGAUGCAUUGGCUAGUUGGUAAGGUAACGGCUUACCAAGGCGAUGAUGCAUAGCGGAGUUGAGAGGGUGAUCGGCCACAUUGGGACUGAGACACGGCCCAAACUCCUACGGGAGGCAGCAGUAGGGAAUCUUCGACAAUGGACGAAAGUCUGAUGGGGCAACGCCGCGUGAGUGAAGAAGGUUUUCGGAGCGUAAGGCUCUUUUGUUGGGGAAGCGGUACUUAACCAGAAAGGCACGGCUAACUACGUGCCAGCAGCCGCGGUAAUAC